AACCUUUUGUUCCUUACAUCUAGCUAGCACCGAGUUUCUCUGAUUCCAGACAGAGCUUAGUCUUCCGUUCAGUGGCUUCACUUCUUCCCAUUCCAGAAUCCCCGCUGGCCACAUCCAGCUCUGCAGCCCCCUGCUGGCCACAACCAGCUCUGCAGCCCCAAACUCCUUGGACACGCCCCCAAUUGUGCAAACCCUGGGUUGACCAUUCUGCAAACAGGAGGGUGCUUCCUGGAUGUGUUGAAUGGAGGAGGCAAACACAGCACUGUUGGCUACAAUGGUGGAUGAGUUUUCAUCUUUAAAACCAACUCAGGAUGGAGGAAGCAGCUGAGGAAGACAGAUGUUCGGAUGGUGCUUUGAAGUUCUCAGUCCUGCCGCAGCAGACUCUGCAGCUGAGCCAAUGCUGCUGUGUAGAGAAUGGAUUAUCAGGAACCUGG
rnacentral:lncRNA from 1 species